GCCUACGGGGCGCAGCAGUGAGGAAUAUUGGUCAAUGGGCUUACGCCUGAACCAGCCAAGUCGCGUGAGGGAAGACUGCCCUAUGGGUUGUAAACCUCUUUUGUCAGGGAGCAACGCCGGCUACGUGUAGCCGGACUGAGAGUACCUGAAGAAAAAGCACCGGCUAACUACGUGCCAGCAGCCGCGGUAAUACGUAGGGUGCGAGCGUUAAUCGGAAUUACUGGGCGUAAAGGGUGCGCAGGCGGUUGAGUAAGACAGAUGUGAAAUCCCCGAGCUUAACUCGGGAAUGGCAUAUAUGACUGCUC
rnacentral:rRNA from 1 species